AACGAACGCUGGCGGCAUGCCUAACACAUGCAAGUCGAACGAGACCUUCGGGUCUAGUGGCGCACGGGUGCGCAACGCGUGGGAACCUGCCUUUAGGUUCGGAAUAACUCAGAGAAAUUUGAGCUAAUACCGGAUGAUGUCUUCGGACCAAAGAUUUAUCGCCUUUAGAUGGGCCCGCGUUGGAUUAGCUAGUUGGUGGGGUAAAGGCCUACCAAGGCGACGAUCCAUAGCUGGUCUGAGAGGAUGAUCAGCCACACUGGGACUGAGACACGGCCCAGACUCCUACGGGAGGCAGCAGUGGGGAAUAUUGGACAAUGGGCGAAAGCCUGAUCCAGCAAUGCCGCGUGAGUGAUGAAGGCCUUAGGGUUGUAAAGCUCUUUUACCCGAGAUGAUAAUGACAGUAGCGGGAGAAUAAGCUCCGGCUAACUCCGUG
rnacentral:rRNA from 1 species